rnacentral:rRNA from 1 species
CUCUUAUAGAUUUUAUAGAAUUUGGUUUUUAGGUGAAGAAACCUAAAUAUAAUUAAAAGACAAGAAGACCCUAUCGAGCUUAAAAUAAUUUUUUUGGUAUAAUGAUAACACCUUACUCAAAAAAAGAUUUUAGUUGGGGCGACUAAGGAACAGAAAAAGCUUCCUAUAAGCUAUAGUUACUAAUAAGUAUUGAUCCAAAAAAUUUGAUUAACAGAAUUAGUUACCGUAGGGAUAACAGCAUAAUCUUUUCUAAGANUCCUUAUCGAAGAAAAGGUUUGUGACCUCGAUGUUGGACUAGGGUGCCCAGAUAGGUGCAGAAGCCUUCAAUGGUUGGUCUGUUCGACCA